rnacentral:tRNA from 1 species
GCGGGAGUAGCUCAGUUGGUAGAGCGUCAGCCUUCCAAGCUGAGGGUCGCGGGUUCGAAUCCCGUCUCCCGCUCCA